CCUACGGGUGGCUGCAGUGGGGAAUAUUGGACAAUGGGCGAAAGCCUGAUCCAGCCAUGCCUCGUGUGUGAAGAAGGCCUUCGGGUUGUAAAGCACUUUCAGUGGGGAAGAAAGCCUUGGGGCUAAUACCCUCGAGGAAGGACAUCACCCACAGAAGAAGCACCGGCUAACUCCGUGCCAGCAGCCGCGGUAAUACGGAGGGUGCGAGCGUUAAUCGGAAUUACUGGGCGUAAAGCGCGCGUAGGCGGUCUGAUAAGCCGGUUGUGAAAGCCCCGGGCUCAACCUGGGAACGGCAUCCGGAACUGUCAGGCUAGAGUGCAGGAGAGGAAGGUGGAAUUCCCGGUGUAGCGGUGAAAUGCGUAGAGAUCGGGAGGAAUACCAGUGGCGAAGGCGGCCUUCUGGACUGACACUGACGCUGAGGUGCGAAAGCGUGGGUAGCAAACAGGAUUAGAUACCCGUGUAGUC
rnacentral:rRNA from 1 species